AUUUAUUCUACGAUCCCAUAUUCGAAUUGGAGAGUUUGGUUUUCUUCUUCGCAGAUUAGCUCCGAAACCCUAGGUAGAAAUCUUAGUCUCUAAAAACAGCAGUUGCAAAGCUUUUUUCGAUCGGUUUUAUGGUUGGGUUGUGAAUUGGUAACCGAGACUGGAAUUGGGGUUUCGAGAAAUGGGUUUGACGAACUUCAUUCUGACGGUGGCAGGGGUGAGCGCAGUGAUUCUGCUGAUGAGGAGCGAUGUGAAACAGACGGCCACUAUUUUCAAGCGCAACGUCCGUCACGUUCGGCAGUGGUUCGAAGAAGAGUCCUCUGCUGCCGCCAAGGAAAUUGAGAAGGCUAAACCCAAGGAGGUGCCUGGAAAAGAUAAUCCUAAGAGAGACAAGGACUAGGGGGCUUUAGAUCUGGAGUGGGGCCUACAAUAUGGAUUUUGCUGGGACAUCGAUCUGCUUAAAGAUUUCAGUGUCCGUCCUGUAUAAUAUAAAGCUUGAGCAAUGUGGUUUACUUGGCCCUCCAGAAUAAUUUUGUUUUAUUUCUUUGUGAUUCCCUUGAUAUUGAACCGUCUGCUUGCCACUGCCAUAUGCCCUGAAGAAGGGUAUGCUUUCUUUCUCUUUCUCUUUCUCUUUCUUUUUCUUUUUCUUUUUCUUUUCUUUAUAAAACAUCUUCCAAUCCUUGGUGCAAAACCAUUGGCAUGCAUAUAUUUGUUUCCAAAAGUAAUAUCCCCUUUACAGCUGUGGACCUUCUGGUACUAGUUGGCAGCAGUGGACAUGAUAAAAGCAAGCAUCCUCCAUCUCCAUGCCUGCCAGACUGCAGAAGUUGCCGGACUUUCACCCGCUUGGAGGUGCCUGCGCCGAAGUCCCCAAUGUAAAUGAGUGAUGUGGUACAUGUGGUGUCAAGAAUUAUUAGGGGAUUGCUUACUUUAAUAAUACAUACGCCCACGUAUGCCUAAACUAAUUUAUUUGAUAAUUGAAGAUUACUUUU